UAGCAGACUGUAGUCAAUGAUGGAGGUGUGAAGCAAGCUAAGAAAAGUGGAGUUUGAGAAAUGGAUACUCUGUGCUGCAAAUGUGUUUUCAUGAUCUCUACAGUAGUGAAACACAGAGAUCCUUGGGGAGGUCACACUAAGUGUGAAAGAGAUGUGGAACACAAAAGCUUCUGGGGGCUGCAGCAAGAGAAACCGCUGGGGGGCAGCAGGUUCUCACACUGAAAUGGACUUUCAUUUGUAAGGAAAUCUGGAGCUGUGAGUAUUAUACAUUUGAUGAUUUUAAUAAAUUCCAUGCAUCAGAUCACUGAAGAUUAUAACAAAAUUAUAUAUUUGAUUAUUUUAAUAAAUUCCAUGCAUCAGAUCACUGAAGAUUAUAACAAAAGUUUCACUGUGUGCUCCUGUAAAUGAAUGUGAUUUUUCUUGUUUAUGGAAUCUUGAUGUAUUUUUUCUCCAUGAGUAGAAAAAGCCUGAAGAAUGUCCUAUGAGUGUCAGCAAAGUCCCAUUUAUGGUGGUAGGAUGCCUGUAAGAUUGAAGUAAUGAAUUUGUCACAUGUACAGCACACAUUUUGGCACUAUUUUUAGAAAGGAGACCAGGAUAUUAGGACAAAAGAAUGAGAAGAGCUUUGAUUUAUUGGUUAGAUUUAUUGUAACUAAUAAGCUGACUAAUGGAAUAGGC
rnacentral:lncRNA from 1 species